CGGGGCCAGACGGGCGGGGAGGCGGGGCCGCGCGGCGCCGCCGGGGCCUCCCCCGCUCCGCCGCCCAGUGACGGCUGGCGCCGGUGCCGCGAGCCGCGCUACGUAGGGACGUGGUCUGCCCGCUCGCCGCGCGGGCGGCCGGGCGGGUGGCUGAGGCGGGGGUGGCGCCAGAGCACGAGUUUAUAAAACCAUUUACUUAGCAGCAGAAGGGCAGUGAAUACGAGAAUUGUUGACAAUUGAAUCAUCUGCAAAAGUAUAGUAUGAGUGGUGUUCUCAGGAAACUGCCAGUUCUUCCACUGGGUGAAAAGGUGUUCUGGAAGUUAGCAGCCGUACUUCUGUUGACCUUGUUGGACUGGAAUUUGAAGUUGUACCUUAAUACCUCUUUUACCUUUCCUUUCUGAUUACAAGAUUGUUUGAUGUUUAUGCAUUCUUGCAAAUUCUUAGAAUCUAUGAAUGACAGUUGCUGUUCUAGGGUUAUCAAGGGAAGUCUUAGCAACUUCCUCUGGCAAUAACACAACCCAGUCUCUAUACAACUCACUGUUGCAUAGCUGGAGCAUUUAGAAAUCAUGAGUCACAUCUACAAGAAAUACAAUCCUCUUGUGGAACUUGCAGUAUUGUAAAUCAUAGAAUCAUGGAAUGCUUUGGGUUGGAAAUGCUGGUGUCUUUCUAUUUACCUUUUAAUUUUUGAGCCUUAACCUAUGCCGAAGUCACAUUCACAUUCUCAGGAA
rnacentral:lncRNA from 1 species